rnacentral:rRNA from 1 species
UAUGUAGGCGGAUUAAUAAGUUUGAAGUGAAAUCCUAUAGCUUAACUAUAGAACUGCUUUGAAAACUGUUAAUCUAGAAUGUGGGAGAGGUAGAUGGAAUUUCUGGUGUAGGGGUAAAAUCCGUAGAGAUCAGAAGGAAUACCGAUUGCGAAGGCGAUCUACUGGAACAUUAUUGACGCUGAGACGCGAAAGCGUGGGGAGCAAACA